rnacentral:tRNA from 1 species
GGGGAUAUGGUGAAAUGGUAGACACAACAGACUUAAAAUCUGUUGAUUAGUAAUAAUCAUGAGGGUUCAAGUCCCUCUAUCCCCA